rnacentral:misc_RNA from 1 species
GAAAUGCGAUAACUAGUGUGAAUUGCAGAAUUCCGUGAAUCAUCGAGUCUUUGAACGCACAUUGCGCCCCCUGGUAUUCCGGGGGGCAUGCCUGUCCGAGCGUCAUUGCUGCCCAUCAAGCACGGCUUGUGUGUUGGGUCGUCGUCCCCUCUCCGGGGGGACGGGCCCCAAAGGCAGCGGCGGCUCCGCGUCCGAUCCUCGAGCGUAUGGGGCUUUGUCACCCGCUCUGUAGGCCCGGCCGGCGCUUGCCGAACGCAAAUCAAUCUUUUUCCAGGUUGACCUCGGAUCAGGUAGGGAUACCCGCUGAACUUAAGC